rnacentral:rRNA from 1 species
UUUUCCUCCGGGGCGCAGCAGUAGGGAAUCUUCCACAAUGGGCGAAAGCCUGAUGGAGCCCCGCCGCGUGGUUGAAGAAGGUCUUCGGAUCGUAAAACCCUGUUGUUAGAGAAGAAAGUGCGUGAGAGUAACUGUUCACGUUUCGACGGUAUCUAACCAGAAAGCCACGGCUAACUACGUGCCAGCAGCCGCGGUAAUACGUAGGUGGCAAGCGUUAUCCGGAUUUAUUGGGCGUAAAGGGAACGCAGGCGGUCUUUUAAGUCUGAUGUGAAAGCCUUCGGCUUAACCGG